rnacentral:lncRNA from 1 species
UGUCUUCCCUUGUUUUGCUUCUUGGUAAUAACUUUAUAUGGUGUCCCUCUCUCAUACUGCCUUAGGUUACACAGAUCUUUUCAACCUAUGUCUUCCCCCUCUUCCUAUGUACUAUACUCAAAGCCUACUAUUUUUUCCCUUCACUGCCUGUAUUAACUUGUCCUCAGCUAGCUGUUAUUAUUCCCAAGAAUAGUUGCAUCUGGGUAGAGGAUUAAUAUUUAAAUAAAAUUAGUGAUAAAGUGAAGGUCAUAUGGGAGGAUGUGAAUGUAUGGGCAUAUGUACUCAUGAGAAGGGUCUUGCAGGCACUACUAAAAUUUACACAAAGACAGAUAUUCUAAUAAGGGAAGGCUGCUCUUAUAUCUAACCUACAGCAAUUUAAAAUAAAUUUGUCUUUACUCUAUGAUUUUGGAAGUUUCCUGUGGUCCAGUGGAUUAAAGAGCUGGUAUUGCUGCAGCUAUGGCACAAGUCACAAUUGUGGCAUGGUUUCAAUCCCUGGGCCAGGAACUUCUGCAUGCUGUGGGUGUGGCAAAAAAAAUUCCAGGAUUUUUAAAGGUUAAAAAUCUAGAGUUUAAUAAUAUUAAUAAACAGUAAUUUUUAAUUUAAUUUUUAAUUUUUUUCAUUUAUUUCUCUCCAUUGCUCAUUAGAAAUGUGGCAUGAAAAUUUCUUUCAUAUACUUGAUGAUCCUUAUUAAAUAAUCCUCUAAGUAACUAAUACAAAUGAAGUGCCAUAUCUUUCAUAAUACAAACAUAUGCAAACAAACUGAAGGUAACUUGAAUAAUUUUAUUUUCUUUAACAUAAUAAUGUUACCACUCUUCCCAAAGUCAGAAAAACUGCAGUACUCUGAUCUCUUUUCCUUAUACUGCAUCCCUAACCUGGACUACUCUAUCAGCCUUUUAACUAAUCUCGUGAUUCCAGUCUUUACUAUGUCUUUGCAUCCUUCAACCUGACAUCAGAUCUACAUUUCUAAAAUAUGUAUUAAAUUAUAUCAUUAUUUUCAUUUGAAACCCAUGAUGAUUUUCCACUGCUUUUGUCAUGCAGUCUAUUUUUCCUAGCAUAAGAUUCAUGACAUACUUUGCAACUUCAUUUUAAUAAAUUUGCUUUUUAAAAAAUGUAUAGUCUACUUGGGGAGACAGGUCAUAUGUACAGAUUAUAUGUAUAAAAUUAUAAACUUACAUAGCUAACAAUAAGUAAAAUUAAAUUUAUUUCUCCAAAUAUAUUUAGAAUCUGGUUCCUGCCUAGCUCCCUUAAAUAUCCUGUAACCUAGUUGUAGGUUAAAGAGGUAUAUACCAAGCUGAAAUAUAAAACAGAAUAUGAGAUGUACAAAAUUUUGUAAAAUCUUUCAAAGAAAAUAACUAUUAAUAACAAAAAUAGAAACAAAGUAAUCUUGGAAAUUAGAGCAUUUGAACUGGGCCUUAAGAAAUAAGGAGGGUUUUACAAAGGUUAAGAAAUAAGAAGGGUUUUACAAGGCAAAGAUGGCAGAAGAGAGAUAAGCCAUGGUAAGAGAUGACAUAGGCCUGCUAAGGUGGUGACAAUACAAAUAGAAAGGUGAGGGCAAAUGUGUGAUAUAUUUCUGGAGUAGAAUUAGGACUUUUAACUGAUACGAGUAAUGAAGGAGGAGGAGAUGCCAAAUCUGACAGAAAAUUCUGUCCUAACUUGGCUGCUUUCAUCAACCAAGAUGGGGUCAAAUCAAGAAGAGUGUUUAUUGAAGAAAUGAGUUGAGUUGGGGGUAUCUGUAAGAUAUACAAGUGAGAUCUAGUAGGAAGAUGAGAUUUUAGGUCUGCAGCAGUUAGAAAUCUAGGGAGAAUAGGUACUGUGAUGUAACCUUGAUGCUGCAUGAGCCUUGAGGCUGGGAGGGAGGAAAUCAAGGGAAAGAACAUGCUGCAAGAGGAGUAGAAAUGGCUCAAAGACUAACUCAUCUAAGUCCUCAAAUCCUUAAACCUCCAUCCUGUGUGUUUGGGACAAAGGAAAAGAGAGAGGAAAAAAAGAAGAAACUGAUGAAGAUGUUGAAUCCACAUGCAUCUUUGUCUGACUAUAGCCCCAAACAAAAUCAAAGUGAUUUCGUAGAUCACAUUUGUCUCUUCCCCCCACCUUUUGUCUCUAUUAAUACAUAAAAUCGUGAUUUAGUUCUACUAUAAUUAUUUGAUGCAGAAUAAUAGGUAUCACUAUAAUUUCCAGCUAUGAUAGUGACUCAGCCUACUUAUAGCUCUCAUUUUCUCUCAGAGAACAAACAACAUUUUCAAACACUAUAAAAUGUGAAUCUUGAGUACCAAUUCAAAACACAGUAAAUCAAGAGAGAAAUUCUGAUAUAAAUAAAAGCUGUGGGCGAUUUGCUGAGCUUCUGAAAGUCAUUCCUGUGAAUGCCAGGUUUAUUAUUGCACAUAUCUUUUAUAGCAUGCUAUGGGAAGAAACAUAAUGCCUCAGGCCCUACUCUUAAAAGCUUAGACCUAAAUUAAAUUGAAAAUGGCAAGAAACUUCUGUAAUAAAAGUAGAAACAGCACUCAAUUGAGAUUGUUCUUUGGUUCCAAAUGUUUAUGGCACUAGCUGCACUUUUGAAGUGACACUGAUCAAUGAGAGGAAGGUUAGUGCUACUAAAAUUUAUGGGGGAAAUACUUGAACAGACUUCAUAUGAGUGGAGGUGGAGGUUAUUUUGGUUAUCUUAUUUCUUAUAGCAUUCAUAAAUGGGUUUAAAGAGUUCUUGAAUGCUCUAAAAUGUUGUCUACAUUAUUAUUAGGAGGAAGUCCAUACCUCUUAAUCAUACUUUUAAGGAUAUGAAGAGCUAAAAUGAUCAAGAGAUAGUGUCUUAAAGAUUCUGUUGUGGAGUUCCUGUCAUGGCUCAGUGGUUAACAAAUCCAACUAGAAACCAUGAGGUUGCGGGUUUGGUCCCUGGCCUUACUCAGUGGGUUAAGGAUCUGGCGUUGCCAUGAGCUGUGGUGUAGGUUGCAGAUGUGGCUUGGAUCCUGCAUUGCUGUGGCUCUGGUGUAGGCCGUGGCUAUGGCUCCAAUUAGACCCCUAGUCUGGGAACCUCCAUAUGCCAUGGGAGUGGCCCAAGAAAUG